CAGCGAAGCAUGGCAAAGUGGCAAUUCUGGACGGUUAAAUCCAACUGACGGAGAAGGAUGAGUUUGUUUACCAAGACAUGCUCACGCAUCUUCCCCUCUACUCAAUCCCAAACCCGAAGAAGGUGCUGCUUGUUGGUGGGGAAGAUGGAGGCAUUCUGAGGGAAAUAUAGCAUCACUCGUCCAUGGAACAAAUCGAUAAAUGUGAACUCGACCAAAUGGUUUAUAAGCAAUUCUUCCCUGAAAUAGCAGUUGGGUGCGAGGAUCUGCGAGUGAAUGUCUACAUUAAUGAGAUGGAGUUGCUUUCUUGAAGGCUAUUCCCGAAGGAACUUAUGACGCGAUCGUUUUGGAUGCAUUUGAGUGUAUGGGAAAAGGAGUACUUGCUAAUCAGGUGUAAAAAAAUUCGGGAGCUACUGCAAUUGAACUAGCGAAUAAAGAUUUCUUAGAAUCGGUGGCUUGGGCGCUCUGUCCUGGAGGUGUCAUGUUUGCUCCAGCAGACAGCUUUUGGCUGGACAACUUCACACUGGAAGAUACUAUUGCCGAAUGUCGCCAAAUCUUCAAGGGUUUAGUGAGAUAUACUUGGUGUUCGAUUCCUUCCAA